AGUGAACGCUGGCGGUAGGCCUAACACAUGCAAGUCGAACGGCAGCACAGUAAGAGCUUGCUCUUACGGGUGGCGAGUGGCGGACGGGUGAGGAAUACAUCGGAAUCUACUUUUUCGUGGGGGAUAACGUAGGGAAACUUACGCUAAUACCGCAUACGACCUACGGGUGAAAGCAGGGGAUCUUCGGACCUUGCGCGAUUGAAUGAGCCGAUGGCGGGUUUGUUAGUCGGCGGGGUAAAGGCCCACCAAGGCGACGAUCCGUAGCUGGUCUGAGAGGAUGAGCAGCCACACUGGAACUGAGACACGGUCCAGAGUCCUACGGUAGGCAGCAGUGGUGAAUAUUGGACAAUGGGCGCAAGCCUGAUCCAGCCAUACCGCGUGGGUGAAGAAGGCCUUCGGGUUGUAAAGCCCUUUUGUUGGGAAAGAAAAGCAGCAGGUUAAUACCCCGCUGUUCUGACGGUACCCAAAGAAUAAGCACCGGCUAACUUCGUG
rnacentral:rRNA from 1 species